ensembl:lncRNA
UGCUGCUGCUGCUGCUGCUGCUGCUGCUGCUGCUGCUGCUGCUGCUGCUGCUGCUGCUGCUCUUCCCCUGCGCUUUUGCCCCGGGCCGUCGGAACGUCAUGGAACAGGACUACUGCCGGAUCCUGGUGACCCAGCUGGUGUGCUCUGUGGCUUCAGUCCUCAGCUCUGCAGGCAGAGGUGCUUGGGAAGUGCUUGCAGUGCAGCGGUUCCCUCACUCCCUGAGGCUCACGUCUUACAAGGAGUGCUUUGUGAAGUCAGGAGGGCAAUCAGAGCCCACUUCAGAAUUUGGCUUAAAAUGCUGGAAGGACAAUGGACCCCAGGCUGUGCAGCCACGGAACUAAAAAUGAUACCAAGGUGGGAAACUCCCCAAGAAACAGAAGGGGUUUGAGGCAUACAGGCAGGCAGAUGUGCCUGGUGCUAAAGAAACGUUUUUCACUGCAGCAGCCUUGAAAGAAACAUAAGGCCAUGAAUAACACUGGGAGGAAGAAGGAGAAAUGGUUCAGCUAGAAACAACAGGACUGGAGCCUGCCCUCUGUGUUUUCCAUUCUGAGUUCAUCCUAAAGUGUUUUUGUUUUAUAUAUAUAUAUAUAAAUAUAUCAAUCUAUCUAAUGGUUGAUUGCUGGUAAAUUAAAAGAUCACAGAAGACAGUAAAUCAGAUCUCCAGCUUAAAGCAAUCAUUUAUUAAUUUUUGGACAAUGUCACAUUCAAAAAGAGAACUCCUGAACUCCGGAGUGACUUCUUUGCUUUUCACUCACCUAUUUUGUGUACUCUGUAGUGUUACAACCUCAAACUAACAACACCUGCUAGCAAGAUCUCUCUUGCAGAAAUGCCAGUGGUAGACAUGACCAGCAUGUCUGGCUAAGGUGAAUAUAAACAAUGCAAUGGCAAGCAUAUAAACCAAGUAAGUGCAUUUCCAAGUAUGCAUAACAUCUGGUACCUGCCUGACACCAGCACUUUGUUCAAGUUUGCCUUCUCUUAUAGACUGAUGAAUUUUUUAAAAGCAUGGUAAAUACCUGGAGGUAAUUUAAAUGAGUAGUAUGGAUCUUGUAUAAUGGAUUUGGUAUUGUAUACAUAUUCAUAUUCUUCUUCAGAACAGAUUUCUUUCUACUCCUCAGAGAAUGAGAGCCUCGCUGUUAAUCACUCUAUUUCUGAUUAUGAAUUCUAACAAAUGAAUCUCAACCAUUUUUUUAAACUGAAAUUUUUGCCUGCCAGUCAAGAUGAGUCAGAUGGGAAAUGAAAAGUUAGGAUCACUGACUAAAAAGAACAAAUAUAAUCUAUAUGCAUAUACCCAAGGCUUGGUGUAUUCUCCAGGAGGUUAGCUGCAUCCAGAUGGCAGCAAUUCACAAGGUUUUCCUACUUUAAAUAGAAAAGAAAUGCUUUUAAAACACCAUCCGAUUACGGCAAUUGUCUAUACCGACAGGUUAAAAUAUCUCUAAAAUGAGUACUCCAAAUGGGAAUGUUUGAUGGUCAUAGUAGCCCCCCUGCCCUACCUGCAGCACCUCUCUUCACAACUAAUGUGGAAAAGAAAUAAAAGAGAGCAACCUCCCUCUGAAGAGAAAUUUCUGCUUGUUGCUUACAGUGCCUUUAUUUAUGUAACAGCAGGAACUACCAGCCCUAGGCACUGAGACCACCACGGGCAACAUGCUUCAGGAAUAGAAAAGAUGGCUAGUCCUUGCCUUAAUGAUUUUCAAAUUGAUGAUGCCACCAAAUUCUUGAGAAAAAUAGAAACACAAAGGUCAAACGGCAGGAGUAAGGACUUGGAACAGGGCAGUGGCAAAACAAGGAGAUUAGAAAGCUCUCUAGUCCCACGCAGCGUGACUUUGAAUCAAUAAAUACUGGUCUGCCGCCUCUUAGAACUGCUAAUCUAAGAUGUUAAAAACAAUCCUAGCAAUCUAACACCCAGUUGUGUGAUAACCCCUGCUGUUUUGAACCAUUUUAUCUCAUGGAAACACCUUUUCCAGCUCUAAGAAUUAUGUAGCACUUGCCCCUAAAGUCUUGAUAAUUGCUGCCAGUUACACCUUUGGAUAACUCAGCACUCCAUUUGAAGUAGUCCUAAAUGUUCCUCUUGGAGUAAUAUAGAGAAGUGAGGUCACAAAGCAAAUGCAUGGGCAUUUAUCUAAAACAAACGCUGCACAUUUCUAAGGGCUUUCUUUAUUCAAUAUUGCAUCUCAUUUUUUUUGUCCUUACACUGGAAGGCAAGGACAAUAGACAUGGCAAGAUUGCAAUCUGCUUAUAGUUAAUAACAGCAGGUGGAUCUUGUAGCAUAAAACAUUUCACUAAAUUUGAAAGCCUCUCUGUUGCACACUUUUUUUACCUCUGAGUAUUUGAAUUAUCUCACUGAAAUCAAUGAAGUCACUCAUGUUAACUGCAAUACACAUACAAAUCCAAACAGAAUCUCUGCCACUGAAAAACAGAGGCUACAGCAGCUCCUUUUAUCUCAUUGUUUUUUACCUGCCUGUCAGUAAUUCAGCGUCUCUUCUUGCAUGUAGUUACCACAAAAGCUUUUGGAGACAGAUGUGUUGAGCUGAGUUAGUGCCUGAUUCUGACUUUCCUGUUUUCACAUUACAGCAGUGAAAAAACAGGAAAGAAUCUGGGUAAUUGAAGUCACAGGUGGAUUUUAUUACAGCACCAUAUGUCGUUUGCUUGUUCAGAUAAAUGUCUUCUACACUUGGGCAAUUUCUUUGGACUGUUUAUGUUAUUCACAGUUAAGUAGAAAAUCCUAAAGGAUAAUUUGAUUUAGCUCUGUAUACUUGGAAUCCAUUAAAAAUGUUCCUAU